rnacentral:rRNA from 1 species
UUGAAAGGGAAACGAUUGAAGUCAGUCGUACCGACGGAAAAUCAGCUCUUCGAGUGCGGACUUGUGGGUUACGUGAGCUUUACGGUCUCGUUGUUUGCAAUGUUCGUUCUUUUUGGGUGUACUUUUUCGUAUGGUUGGCCAAUAUCUGUUUCGAUCGCUAUAAAAUGACCGGCGGAAUGUAGCUUCGAUCUCGUAUUGAAGUGUUAUAGCCUCUGGUAGAUGUGGUGAUUGGGACUGGGGAUUGCAACGAAUACCUUCUGGGCUAUCCGUCUGAUCUCUGAAAGUUGCUUAGGUGCCGAAAGCAUGCUUACGGUUAUUUAAGUUGACGGUCAAAAGGUUAGAACGUGAUUAUAUUCGUUAAGGAUGUUGACGUA